rnacentral:rRNA from 1 species
AUGGAGUCGGAGGUAGUGAGGGCGGAGAUGCUGCUGGCGCCGACGAUGGCGUUCAAGAAGGUGCAGACGGCCGACAAGUACCCCAAGGGCCAGUCCCGCGGCCGCCAGUGGAAGCACCUCCGCCACCUCCUCCAGGCCGCCGACGCCACCUCGCUGCCCCCGGACCGCCCCAACUAUUUAAAUAUUCAGUCACCCCCAUCCGUUUAUCCACCAAAGAGAUAUUGUGACGUUACAGGUUUUGAGGCACCAUACGUGGAUCCGAGGACGAAGCUGCGCUACGCUGACCCAGAGGUGUUCAGGCAGAUCAGAAUGCUUCCUGAAGAAUACGUCCAGAGGUACCUGGCCGUGAGGAACGCAGCGGUUGUACUGCGAUAA